GACGAACGCUGGCGGCGUGCUUAACACAUGCAAGUCGAACGGAAAGGCCCUGCUUUUGUGGGGUGCUCGAGUGGCGAACGGGGGAGUAACACGUGAGUAACCUGCCCUUGACUUUGGGAUAACUUCAGGAAACUGGGGCUAAUACCGGAUAGGAGCUCCUGCUGCAUGGUGGGGGUUGGAAAGUUUCGGCGGUUGGGGAUGGACUCGCGGCUUAUCAGCUUGUUGGUUGGGUAGUGGCUUACCAAGGCUUGGACGGGUAGCCGGCCUGGGAGGGUGACCGGCCACAUUGGGACUGAGCUACGGCCCAGACUCCUACGGGAGGCAGCGGUGGGGAGUAUUGCACAGUGGGCGGAAGCCUGAUGCAGCAACGCCGCGUGCGGGAUGACGGCCUUCGGGUUGUAAACCGCUUUCGCCUGUGACGAAGCGUGAGUGACGGUAAUGGGUAAAGAAGCACCGGCUAACUACGUG
rnacentral:rRNA from 1 species